rnacentral:rRNA from 1 species
AAUGAACGCUGGCGGCGUGCCUAAUACAUGCAAGUCGAGCGGACGGACGAGAAGCUUGCUUCUUUGCUGUUAGCGGCGGACGGGCGAGUGAGACGUGGAUCACCUACCUAUAUGACUGGGAUAACUUCGGGAAACCGCAGAUACUACCGGAGAAUAUUUUGAACCGCAUAGUUCAAAAGUGAAUGACGCUUUUCCUGUCACUAAUAGAUGGUUCCGCGCUGGAUUAGCUAGUUGGUAAGGUAACGGCUUACCAAGGCAACGAAGCGUAGCUGAGCUGAGAGGGUGAUCAGCCACACUGGAACUGAGACACGGUCCAGACUCCUACGGGAGGCAGCAGUGGGGAAUAUUGGGCAAUGGGCGAAAGCCUGACGCAGCAACACCGCGUGAGUGAUGAAGGCCUUCGGAUCGUAAAACCCUUUUAUUAGGGAAGAACAUAUGUGUAUGUAUCCGUGGAUAUCUUGACGGUACCCAAAGAAUAAGCCCCGGCUAACUUCGUG